UGAUACCAUAUAUUAGAAAAUUUGAGGAAGAAGUUAAUUUUCCAAUUCUAUUGAAAUCAAUACAUCUUAAGAGAGAGGGGUUGCCCGCGCGAUCACCACGCACUGUGCGCACGCGAUAGGCGCAGACAGUCGCAUGUCCCAUCUGCGCGAGUCACUGGGCAAAACUUGCGCGUGCGUCACAUCAUGAGUGGACAGGGCUAAUGCCGCACACUGUGCAUUCGUUGUCCACAUAGUAGGCUUGCACGCAGUGCCCCAGCGCGCCGUAGGCCUUGCGUGCGGCAAGGUAGCCCAACACCUGCAGCUAGGCCUGCAGCACACGCUGGGCAGGUGAGACACAUGGCUGCCUUGGGCAGUGUGUCGCCGUUGGUGGAGGAAGAUUCUCCUCUAUUUUUUGUGCCGCAUCAAAUCAAACAUCUCUCCAAUUUCUACGCUCUCUCUUUUUACCGGAUUUCACCACUUGGCGCAAAUAUGAUGACCCCCAUUUUUUAUAAAUAGGGGCCUUUCCUCUCAUUUUCUCAUCACUUCCAUUCUUCCACAUUCAAAGAGUUAUAAAGAGAAAGAAAGUGAUCUAGAGAGAGAAGGAGAGGAAGAGAAGAACGAUGUUGGAAAAACUAUCGAGGUUUCGGUAAGAAAUCUGGUAUUUCUUUAGACAUCUUAAGGAGUAUUUAUAGAAAUUAAAAUAAUAAAUCUAUGAUUUUGUGUGAUUUGCAUGUUUUAUGUUUAGUACUUUUAAUAAAAUAAAUUGUUA
rnacentral:lncRNA from 1 species